CCUGCCUCAGCCUUGUGAGUAACUGGGAUUACAGGUUGUCUGUUUACUCUGUUUAUGGUGUCUUUUGCUGGAAGCAUGAGUUUUAGAUUCAGAAAUAUGUGAGUCUGAGUCCUGGUUCUACCUUUUAUCAGGGAUCAGAUCUGCAUCGUGGUCUGAGGGAUCUCCCAGGCUUCUCCCACACCUGCCCCACUUUCCCUUACAGGUGUUUUUCCUGAUAAAUUAUCUUGCAUGUCUAAUCCCA